UACGAAGGGGGCUAGCGUUGCUCGGAAUUACUGGGCGUAAAGGGCGCGUAGGCGGUUCUAUAAGUCAGGCGUGAAAUUCCUGGCUUAACCUGGGGGCUGCGCUUGAGACUGUGGGACUUGAGGUCAGAAGAGGGUCGUGGAAUUCCCAGUGUAGAGGUGAAAUUCGUAGAUAUUGGGAAGAACACCGGUGGCGAAGGCGGCGACCUGGUCUGAUACUGACGCUGAGGCGCGACAGCGUGGGGAGCAAACAGG
rnacentral:rRNA from 1 species